AGCUAAUAGAUACCCUGGUAGUCCUGGCCGUAAACGAUGGGCACUAGGUAGAGGGGUACCAAACGCCUCUCUGCUGGAGUAAAAAUAUAUUAAGUGCCCCGCCUGGGGAGUAUGGUCGCAAGGCUGAAACUCAAAGGAAUUGACGGGGGCGUCACACAAGCGGUGGAGCAUGUUGUUCUAAUUCGUAAGCAACGCGCAGAACCUUACCCUUGGGCGUUGACAUGCUAGUGGUAGGAACCUGAAAGGGGACGGACCUCCUUACGGUAGGAGCUAGCACAGGUGGUUUGCAUGGCGUGUUCGUCAGCUCGUGUCGUGAGAUGUUGGGUUUAAGUUACCCGU
rnacentral:rRNA from 1 species